rnacentral:tRNA from 1 species
GUUUUAAUAAUUUAAAUAAAAUAUUAAUUUUGUAAAUUAAAAAUAAGCCCUCCUUUUAAAACU